CAGAAUCAACGCUGGCGGCGCGCCUAACACAUGCAAGUCGCACGAGAAAGCCGGGGCAACCUGGUGAGUAAAGUGGCGUACGGGUGAGUAACACGUGGGUUACCUGCCCUCUAGUGGGGAAUAACCCUGGGAAACCGGGGCUAAUACCGCAUAAUCCCGUGAGGGGAAAGCAGCAAUGCGCUGGAGGAGGGGCCCGCGGCCGAUUAGCUAGUUGGUAGGGUAACGGCCUACCAAGGCUAUGAUCGGUAGCCGGCCUGAGAGGGCACACGGCCACACUGGCACUGAAACACGGGCCAGACUCCUACGGGAGGCAGCAGUGGGGAAUCUUGCACAAUGGGGGAAACCCUGAUGCAGCGACGCCGCGUGAGCGAUGAAGCCCUUCGGGGUGUAAAGCUCUUUCGGCAGGAACGAUAAUGACGGUACCUGCAGAAGAAGCUGCGGCUAACUACGUGCCAGCAGCCGCGGUAAUACGUAGGCAGCAAGCGUUGUUCGGAGUUACUGGGCGUAAAGAGUGUGUAGGCGGUUUGCCAAGUUCGGUGUGAAAUCUCCCGGCUUAACUGGGAGGGUGCGCCGAAAACUGGCAGGCUUGAGUGCGGGAGAGGAGAGCGGAAUUCCUGGUGUAGCGGUGAAAUGCGUAGAUAUCAGGAGGAACACCUGCGGUGUAGACGGCUCUCUGGACCGCCACUGACGCUGAGACACGAAAGCGUGGGUAGCAAACAGGAUUAGAUACCCUGGUAGUCCACGCCCUAAACGAUGCAUACUUGGUGUGGGCAGUUCAUUCUGUCCGUGCCGAAGCUAACGCGUUAAGUAUGCCGCCUGGGGAGUACGGUCGCAGGCUGAAACUC
rnacentral:rRNA from 1 species